CGAGUGGCGAACGGGUGAGUAAUGUAUCGGAACGUGCCCAGUCGUGGGGGAUAACGUAGUGAAAAUUACGCUAAUACCGCAUACGAUCUAUGGAUGAAAGCGGGGGAUCGCAAGACCUCGCGCGAUUGGAGCGGCCGAUAUCAGAUUAGGUAGUUGGUGGGGUAAAGGCCCACCAAGCCAACGAUCUGUAGCUGGUCUGAGAGGACGACCAGCCACACUGGAACUGAGACACGGUCCAGACUCCUACGGGAGGCAGCAGUGGGGAAUUUUGGACAAUGGGCGCAAGCCUGAUCCAGCCAUUCCGCGUGCAGGAUGAAGGCCCUCGGGUUGUAAACUGCUUUUGUACAGAACGAAAAGGUUUCUACUAAUACUAGGAGCUCAUGACGGUACUGUAAGAAUAAGCACCGGCUAACUACGUGCCAGCAGCCGCGGUAAUACGUAGGGUGCAAGCGUUAAUCGGAAUUACUGGGCGUAAAGCGUGCGCAGGCGGUUAUAUAAGUCAGAUGUGAAAUCCCCGGGCUCAACCUGGGAACUGCAUUUGAGACUGUAUAGCUAGAGUACGGCAGAGGGGGAUGGAAUUCCGCGUGUAGCAGUGAAAUGCGUAGAUAUGCGGAGGAACACCGAUGGCGAAGGCAAUCCCCUGGGCCUGUACUGACGCUCAUGCACGAAAGCGUGGGGAGCAAACAGGAUUAGAUACCCUGGUAGUCCACGCCCUAAACGAUGUCAACUGGUUGUUGGGUCUUAACUGACUCAGUAACGAAGCUAACGCGUGAAG
rnacentral:rRNA from 1 species